AACGCAAAUUGCACUUCUUGGUAUUCCGAGGAGUAUGCUUGCUUGAGGGUUGGUCUACAAAAAAAUCGUAAAUUUUUUUUACGGAUCUGGGUUUUCCGAGUUUUCUCGACUUCGGUUGCCUAAAAUUUAUCUUGACAAUGAGGUAUUAAUUAGAAAUGUACUAUCUUACACGUGAGUUCGUUGAUAAUUAUACCAGUUGUUACGUCGCGUUAUUCAUCUAGUACCUUUGAUUAGGUGAAAUAAUUCAAUUUUUUAAUCCUACCUCAAGUCAAGUAAGGAUACCCGCUAAACUUAA
rnacentral:misc_RNA from 1 species